rnacentral:rRNA from 1 species
UGGGGAAUUUUGGACAAUGGGCGCAAGCCUGAUCCAGCCAUGCCGCGUGCGGGAAGAAGGCCUUCGGGUUGUAAACCGCUUUUGUCAGGGAAGAAAUCUUCUGAGUUAAUACCUCGGGAGGAUGACGGUACCUGAAGAAUAAGCACCGGCUAACUACGUGCCAGCAGCCGCGGUAAUACGUAGGGUGCAAGCGUUAAUCGGGAUUACUGGGCGUAAAGCGUGCGCAGGCGGUUUUGUAAGACAGAGGUGAAAUCCCCGGGCUCAACCUGGGAACUGCCUUUGUGACUGCAAGGCUUGAGUGCGGCAGAGGGGGAUGGAAUUCCGCGUGUAGCAGUGAAAUGCGUAGAUAUGCGGAGGAACACCGAUGGCGAAGGCAAUCCCCUGGGCCUGCACUGACGCUCAUGCACGAAAGCGUGGGGAGCAAACAGGAUUAGAUACCCUGGUAGUCCACGCCCUAAACGAUGUCAACUGGUUGUUGGGAAGGUUCCUUCUCAGUAACGUAGCUAACGCGUGAAGUUGACCGCCUGGGGAGUACGGCCGCAAGGUUGAAACUCAAAUGAAUUGACGGGGUCAU